UGGCUGCUUUCGUUGGCAUCAUCGUGGUCGCCAUCUUUUCCCCGGCAAGCAGAUCCUGGAGACCGACGUCAGCAAGAUUGGCGUGUCUGGUCUAGACACGUUUUUGGACUUCGUUAGGAACAUGUUUCCGGAGAACAUCGUCCAAGCCUGCUUCCAACUGCACCGAACAGUUCGCAUUGCCCAACCGCCACGCUUUGUCCCGUUGGGCGUUAAUGCAAGCGAA